rnacentral:rRNA from 1 species
UACGUAGGGGGCAAGCGUUGUCCGGAAUCAUUGGGCGUAAAGCGCGUGUAGGCGGCCCGGUAAGUCCGCUGUGAAAGUCGGGGGCUCAACCCUCGGAUGCCGGUGGAUACUGUCGGGCUAGAGUGCGGGAGAGGCGAGUGGAAUUCCUGGUGUAGCGGUGAAAUGCGUAGAUAUCUGGAGGAAUACCGGUGGCGAAGGCGGCAUCCUGGACCGGCAUUGACGCUGAGGAGCGAAAGCCAGGGGAGCAAACGGG